AGAAACAACCCCGCCUCUUGAUUCCUGGUGAAAAUGUAUUUUAAACGGUACUAAAUGUAUUCCAUGAAUCUUCCGCCAUCCCGCACGAUUACCAAAAGCCUUUCCAUUCUGAACUGCAAGCCUUCUACCUUUAAUUUAUAGAAAUUGACGUCAAGUAAAUAACUCUUAAUAGUCUUUCUACAGUAUUGAAUUAAAUUGAUGUCAGGAGCUGAAGAAGUUCACCAUCAAAGUGCUGGCAGAUUUGGUGUCUGGAGAGAGGAGAAGGAGAUAACAGACACUAAGGAGAAGGCAGUGUGAAGAUGGAGAGAGAAAUGACCACAAGCUAAGGAAUUCUGAUAGCUACCAGAAGCUGGAAGAGUGCAAGUCAUGGUAUCUUUCCUAGAGCCUCUACUGGGAAUGCAGCCCUUCUAACACCUUAAUUUCAGAAUUCUGGCUUCUAGAUUUGUGAGGGAAUGGUUUCUGUUGUUUUAAGCCACAAAGUUUAUUGUAAUUUGAUAUAGCAUCAACAGGAAACUAAUACACCUCCGCUGUACCUUUACGUAGAAACUAAUAUACCUUUCUGGAACUCCAAUGAAAUGAAUGUCAGACCAUUAGAUAUUGUCCCACAGAUCUUAGAGGUUGUCUUCAUUUUCUUUUCAAUCUUAUUUUUCCUCUUUCUUCAGACUGGAUAAUUUCUAUUGAUCUAUCUUCAGGUUUCCCUACCACCUUUAUCCUAUUUUUGAUCUUAUUUAAUGAAAUUUUUUGUCUGUAUAUAUUUCUCAGUUUAAA